rnacentral:rRNA from 1 species
AACCCGACUACANGAAGCUGGAAUCGCUAGUAAUCGCAGGUCAGCAUACUGCGGUGAAUACGUUCCCGGGUCUUGUACACACCGCCCGUCACACCAUGGGAGCCGGAAAUGCCCGAAGCCAGUGACCCAACCUUAGGGAGGGAGCUGUCGAAGGUGGAGCCGGUAACUGGGGUGAAGUCGUAACAAGGUAAC